GGCCGGUUAGCUCAGUGGUUUGAGCGCGGUGCUGGAACAAUGACCAACACCGAGGUCGCAGGUUCGAUUCCCACUCCGUCCC
rnacentral:tRNA from 1 species